AAUGAACGUUGGCGGCGUGGAUUAGGCAUGCAAGUCGAGCGGGUGUAGUAAUACAUCAGCGGCGAAAGGGAGAGUAACGCGUAGUUACGUGCCCCGAGGUGCAGAAUAGCUACGGGAAACGGUAGGUAAUGCUGGAUGAUAUCUCCGGAUCAAAGGUGUGAUUCCGCCUCGGGAGCGGACUGCGUCCUACUAGCUAGUUGGCGGGGUAAUGGCCCACCAAGGCGACGAUGGGUAGCGGGUGUGAGAGCAUGACCCGUCUCACUGGGACUGAGACACUGCCCAGACACCUACGGGUGGCUGCAGUCGAGAAUCUUCGGCAAUGAGCGCAAGCUUGACCGAGCGACGCCGCGUGCGGGAUGAAGGCCUUCGGGUUGUAAACCGCUUUCGGUUGGGAGGAAAUCGCUAGGGGUUCUCCCCUAGUGUUGACCUAUCUUCGGAAGAAGGACGGGCUAAGUUCGUGCCAGCAGCCGCCGUAAGAC
rnacentral:rRNA from 1 species